rnacentral:rRNA from 1 species
UGAACGCUGGCGGCAUGCCUUACACAUGCAAGUCGAACGGUAACGCGGGGCAACCUGGCGACGAGUGGCGAACGGGUGAGUAAUAUAUCGGAACGUGCCCAGUCGUGGGGGAUAACUGCUCGAAAGAGCAGCUAAUACCGCAUACUACCUGAGGGUGAAAGCGGGGGAUCUUCGGACCUCGCGCGAUUGGAGCGGCCGAUAUCAGAUUAGGUAGUUGGUGGGGUAAAGGCCUACCAAGCCGACUAUCUGUAGCUGGUCUGAGAGGACGACCAGCCACACUGGGACUGAGACACGGCUCCAGACCCCUACGGGAGGCAGCAGUGGGGAAUUUUGGACAAUGGGGGCAACCCUGAUCCAGCCAUGCCGCGUGCGGGAAGGAGCCUUCGGGU